CAUUCUUUUCGGGUAAGAAUAAAAGUGGAAGAUGGUGGUGAGGCAAGGUUGGGAUUUGGAGGUGUGCACGGUUAGUGAGGAAUUUUUGGGGAGUGGUUAUAGGUGUGGUGAAUAGGUUUCAGCGGGAAGUGUUGUUUAGGUGAGCAGAAUUUUUAGAUGAGAUUACUUGUCAUAAUUGAUAAAGGUAUCCAUAUUGGAAGUUUGAAGAAUCGUGACAGAUUUUCUACGCUUAAUAUCUACAUAAAUAGAAGAAAUAUAGAACAUAUGUCGAGCUGAUAAAACGCAAAACAGUUGUUUUCACGGAAUUCACGGAAGCCAAACGAACUUUUUAAGAUAAACGAUCACUUAAGAUAAACGAAAAUAAACGAAAAGAUAUACAUGUUUGAAAAUCUACAAAUACAAUCUAAAAACACAAAAACUUUCAAAAGCAAUCUCUUCCAUACUAAGAUACUCACUUCUACAUAAACAGAGGAUGUUCAUGCGUGCAAUUGCAAUGAAGGAAGAAGUAAACGAGCAGCCAAAGACGACGACGACGACGAUGACGACGAAGAAGAAGAGGAGGAAGAUGAAGAAGAAGAAGAAGAAGAAGAAGAAGAAGAAGAAGAAGAAGAAGAAGAAGAAGAAGGCAUGAAAGAAAGGCCCGGGCCUGUUCGGGUGUUCGCAGGCCCGAUCCUCAGUGUCUUGGGACCCACCACGCCAUAGGAUGCCUCCUUCUCCAUCGGUCGGCGGCUCAGCAUCCUUUAAUAUCUCUCGGUGGCCUCCUCUCGUCCAGCGUUUCCUCUUUGUCGCUCGUGUUCCUGUUCAGAGCCUCCCCUCCCGCCGGACAGACCCUCGCGGUCGGCCACUUUCGAUAGCAUCUUGAUGGAAUGCCUGCGGGGUAGGUACCUGCCGCAUUGUCGGCUCAGCUCAGCUCGUGCUUUCGCACUCUCCUCGUGAUCGCUCGUUGUUCCGUCCUCCUGCCGCCGCCAAAGAUUCUUGGCUGCUCGCUCUUGUUGUUAUUGUUGUUGUUAUUGUUGUUAUUGUUGUCGUCGUUGUCGUUGUCGUUAUUGCUAAGAGGUGGCGUUCGAAUCGGUCGGUUGGGUUCGGUUGCCGCGUUUCGAUGUCGGUUUCGCUCUCGGUGUCGCCUUCUUGUUGCAUUCAUUCCGCUAGUCGGGCGGCCCCUCCUGGCCCCGGCUACCAAUCGAAUCGUGUCGUUGGCCUGGUAUUUUCCUCCGUACCGACGACCUUGCGUCCACGACGAUGAUGAAACAAGUCGGAAUCGCGUUUUCGGAUCAACGUGCGCGUCCAACCGUCACGCGCGGAUCCGAGCAGAUUUGGGAUGGGAAGGGUUGAGAUUUUUGAGUGGGAACGAGCUUGGCUUUCGAUUUGGUGAAUUAUGCAAGCGCAAGAUUGUUAAUUACCUGGAAUUAUUUAACGGAUGUUAUAUAUGUUUAUAAUAAGAUAGUUUUUCUAUCUUUAGAUGUUAGCUUUUUGGUUGAUGAUUGAAAUGAAAGGAAUUGAAUUAGAUAUUAAUAAUAAAGUUUUAAAA
rnacentral:lncRNA from 1 species